GGGGAUAUGGCUCAGUGGCACUGUGUCUGCCUGGGAAGCACAAGGUCCUGAGUUCCAGUCCUGGUAUCACCC
rnacentral:tRNA from 1 species